rnacentral:rRNA from 1 species
GACGACCGCUGGCGGCGUGCUUAACACAUGCAAGUCGAACGGCAAGGCCCUUCGGGGUACACGAGUUGCGAACGGGUGAGUAAAACGUGGGUGAUCUGCCCUGCACUUUGGGAUAAGCCUGGUAAACUGGGCCUAAUACCGGAUAGGACCACUGCCUGCAUGGGAGGUGGUGGAAAGCUUUUGCGGUGUGGGAUGGGCCCGCUGCCUAUCAGCUUGUUGGUGGGGUGAUGGCCUACCAAGGCGACGACGGGUAGCCGGCCUGAGGGGGUGACCGGCCACACUGGGACUGAGAUACGGCCCAGACUCCUACGGGCGGCAGCAGUGGGGAAUAUUGCACAAUGGGCGCAAGCCUGAUGCAGCGACGCCGCGUGAGGGAUGACGGCCUUCGGGUUGUAAACCUCUUUCAGCACCGACGAAGCGCAAGUGACGGUAGGUGCAGAAGAAGGACCGGCCAACUACGUGCCAGCCGCCGCAGUAA